rnacentral:tRNA from 1 species
GGAGACGUCGCAUUGUCCGGCCUAACGCACCACCCUGCUAAGGUGGAGACCCCGUAAGGGAUCCAAGGGUUCAAAUCCCUUCGUCUCCG